CAAUGACAAUUUGUUGCAACCAAAUUAAAAUUUACAAUGCUUAAAUAAAACCACACAACCUAAUAAAAAUCUAUUCUUUUCCACGCUUUGCAAAUUGCACUCGUCCAACAUCCACAAUCUUCACUUCUGUAUAGUACGUAGCAAGCUUGAGCGACGAUAAAUACACCAUGAUGAAUGACUUAAUUCUUCCGCUUGCAAGUCACUUGUAGCAUACUCGAUCGACCGAAACUGUAGUUUUGUAGGAUAACCUCUGAGCAUGAUGUGUACCUGCAAGAAUCAAUCGUGAGGUAUGUCUUAUAAUUGCAAAGUUUUAAAUCUCAGGCUACUACCGCUAUAGGCCGCUGUAAGAGUACUUAAGGUAUGGUACCGCUAUUUGUAGAGUACCUAUUUGUGCUGCUAAUGUACAAUUUAACUGUUAUAAUCUCAUUUAACUCCGUUAUUAACUGUUUUAGAAUUCAACCGCUAAAUUCCUCCCUCGUUCCGCUAUUUAAAACACUGCAGAACUGUUAAAUAAUUAAUAGUCUGAAAGAAUUAUUUAUAGUUUACGGAGUGUUCUUUCCUUAACGUCGUCACGGGCCAUGGAACAAGGCUGCGUAGCCACCGGCCGUGGUGAGGACCGCCAUGGCCCACACGGCGGCGGCGACAGGCCAGGACGGCAUCGCCGCCGCCACCUUCCACGAGAACAGCACGGUGAGCAGCGUGCACAGCGCCCACACCUCGCGCCUCAGCCGCGCCCUUUGGUCGGCAGCUUCCCAAGGCGGCGGCAAGCGCUCGUACGCGCGGAGGCUGCGAAAGAGCAGCAGUAGCGAGGCGUAGCUUACGGCGACGAACGCCGUGGAGGCGAGGUCGCCCGCGGCGGCGGCUCUGUAUGCGGACACGGCGGACGUCAGGGUUAAAGCGAUCAGCCCCGUGCGGACGAGAACCGCCGUGCCAUCAGCGCCGCCUCUUUGUUCUCGUUCCAUAUCGAGCUAUGAUCGAAUCGAAUGCUCCCUGUUCUUACGGCAGGGGGAAAU
rnacentral:lncRNA from 1 species